UACGUAGGGGGCAAGCGUUGUCCGGAAUCAUUGGGCGUAAAGAGCGUGUAGGCGGCCCGGUAAGUCCGCUGUGAAAGUCAAAGGCUCAACCUUUGAAAGCCGAUGGAUACUGCAGGGCUAGAGUCCGGAAGAGGCGAGUGGAAUUCCUGGUGUAGCGGUGGAAUGCGCAGAUAUCAGGAGGAACACCAAUAGCGAAGGCAGCUCGCUGGGACGGUACUGACGCUAAGGCGCGAAAGCGUGGGGAGCGAACAGG
rnacentral:rRNA from 1 species